AAAUAUGUAAAUAAAUUUUAUUUAAUAUUAUGUUCAGUUUAAUCAUCUACAUUAUCACAUAAGUUUAAUAGUAAAAUUUACCAAGCACAUACGACUUCUUUUAAAAAUCACAACACUUAUAAAAAUAAAUUUUACCAAACGUUUAAUUAAUUCUUUUCACAACUGAUUAUUUCUACGGCAUAACUAACAAAAAUUAUUUUAAAAAUUACACUGCUACCAAAUUGGCCCUUAACACAUAUUGUGAAGGGAUAAAGGCGUAAAGCUCAUUACAUCAUUGUUCUUGUUGCGCCCAUGUGUCUUCUUAUUUCUAGUGAUACGACAAUUUAACGCAACUUUUUCUUGCUCAAUCAAUUAAACUGCUGCAGAUAAGUUUUUUCUGAAUGGUUUGGACAAUUUUAAUUCAUUUAGUGGAUUUUCUACCCUUCCAUUGUCAUACAACAUGAGCAUUCCUUUUCUGUUGAGUGAAAUUUGGCAUGUAGUUAGGUUUAAAAGAAAAAACAAAAUUGCCUUAUCUAACAAAUCCUAUAACUGAUGCAACAAAUAAAGGAUCACACUUCUGCUGCUUCUAAUUGGAGCCACAAUGACAGAACAUGAUAAUGCUUACCUGAUAGUGGGAAACUGUUAUUGCUUAAGCCUUAGCUGAUGCUUGUUUAAAACCUUUGAAUGAGCUGGUAUGAAUGGUGUCAUGUCAUGCAAUUUUUAACUUUUAGCUACUUGGUUUCUAUGUGUUUACUGUUAGUUGAACCCAUAUGGCCUACUCAGAUUGCCACUUCUAAAUGCUCAAUGAAAAUUACAGUUCUCAUAAAGAAGAAAAGGACUUGAUAGGAUGCAGAUUUCUUGUCCUUUCCAAUUAUUUAAGGAUGCUGAAUUGUGGUGUGGAUCUGCACUCUGUUGAAUGUUGGAAAAUGACACAGAUUUUGGUGUCAUGUCUUGUUUGCUGACUUAUUGUAACAGCUUUGUCCCAACAACCAGUAGAUAUUGUAGAUAUUGUCUGCUUUGUCCUUCACUCACACGUUCUUCAUGCUCACAGAUUUGCCUUUCGGGAGAACAUGCGGCUUUUUUGCCGACUUUGCUGCCUAUGUGGGAUGUCACACUCCGUCUGGAUAAUUCUGCCUGUUGGAACAAUGGAGAUGAGGAAUCUAGUGUGUGUUUUAUAUACCUAGUCAUCUCUGGUCUAGUUCUUUUGUUUUUUUAUUUAUUUAAAUUCUCCAUUUAAUAUUUCUUUUUUCAUAUGAAUGAUCUUGAAAUGUUCGCAUGGUUGGUACAAUUCUAAUGGAAGUAAUCACACUUGCUUUUUUGACCAGAACAUCAAAGUGAAAAGAAUGAUUUUUUCNN
rnacentral:lncRNA from 1 species